UGUGGGUAUUCGGGCAGAGAGAGUACCCAAAAAAAAUCUGAUUUAUUCCUAGCGAUCCAUCGAAAAAUGUUGGGGGUAUUCGGGCUUAGGAAUGGAAAUUUGCCCCGACCAAGCCAAUACCCAGUGCACUGCCCUGAUUUUAAGGAUGAAAAAUUCUUCAAAAAAAUGAAACUGAAUUUUAAAAAUCAGCCUCGUCCUUUCUCGUUCGCAUUCGUAUUCAAAUUCGACUAAGCAAGUACCUAGGCCCCACCUGUGAACCAUCUUGCUGGGCCCACCGGACCUUCCUAGGUCCGUACUGUUUUGUAAACGCCACUAGUGGAAGACCACGAAACGUUUCGUCUCCAAAGCAAAGCGUGAGAGAGCGAUCGAAUUCGAACCCAACCAACGGCCUAAUCAAAAACACUCGGAACCAAAAAUGGCGGCAACGAAAGGAAAGCUGAUGUACAAGAUUUACAGAGCUCUGAGCUACGGUCUCUCUCCGAUUCUCUACCUUCACCUUCGCUGGAGACAGUGCCGAGGACUCGAACACCCGCUCCGUUGGCCCGAACGCCUUGGCCAAGCUUCCCUUCCUCGUCCCCCUGGUCCUCUCCUCUGGUUCCACGCCGUCUCUCUAGGCGAAGGAAUGACUGCGAUUCCUGUAAUUAGAGAAUGUAUUCAGAACAGACCUGAUUUAACCAUCUUGAUGACCACUACUGCCGCCUCAGCAUUUGAAGUUAUAAAGAAUCGUCUUCCAAACGGUGUGAUAUACCAGUUUGCCCCAGUUGACACCCCUGCUGCUAUAAAUGCUUUCCUUGGCUAUUGGAAGCCCAAUGCAAUUGCAAUUAUGGAGAAUGAACUGUGGCCAAACCUUAUUAUGGAUGCUUCGGAAAAGGGUAUUGCACUGGCAUUAUUAAAUGCUCGCGUUUCUGCUAAAUCAUUUAAUCGUUGGUCAACACCAGUGAUUCUUCCACUGAUUGCAUUGAUGCUGUCAAAGUUUUCGCUGAUUGUUCCGUUGAGUAAUAUGCAGGCAAUUCAUUUUCAGCUACUGCUUGCCCCACCUUUUAUCAUAAACUUUUCUGGUGACUUGAAAUUCGCGGUUAAAGAAUUUGACAUUUCUGAGAGAAAGGUAAAAAGUAUAGAAGAUCUGAAGGUACAGCUUGCUCACAGGCAGGUUUGGAUGGCUUCUUCCAUUCACAAGGGAGAAGAAGAAGCGAUACUAGGCGUUCAUGAAGUGCUCAUACAAGUAGUCCCUGAUUUGAUCACAAUCAUUGCGCCUCGGUAUCCACAGCACGGACAAGAGAUUGCUCAAAAGUUGCAGAAAGAAGGGAAAAGUGUAGCUUUGAGGUCUCGAGGUGAUAAACUCAUAACAGGAACAAACAUAUAUAUAGUGGACACAUUGGGUGAAUUGAGAUACUUAUAUGGUUUGACUCCUAUAGCUGUGAUUGGAGGUUCCUUCUUGCCCUAUUUUACUGGUCACAACAUAGCAGAAGCUGCUGCAGCUGGUUGUGCAAUUUUGACUGGUCCUCAUGUAGGACAUUUCUCACGCAUGGUUUUGGAAAUGCAACGGUCAAAUCCUUUGUCAGUUCUGCAGGUUUCUGGAAAAUUAGAGCUUGAACAAGCUCUUAGAAAGCUCUUUAGCAAUGUCAAAGUUCUUGAAGUGCAUCGUAUGGCUGCGAAACAAGCAUAUUAUGCUCUGUCAAGUGGUAUUGUUGCCAAAGUUUGGAAUCUACUAAAUUAUCAAGUUCUGCAAAAGCUUUGAACUCAAAAGUAAUUGAGGACCAGUGUGAAACAAAAAUUAUGUGAAGUUUGCUCCAUGAAACCUUUGCAGUUAUGGAUGCUGUUGACAUCCAACAUUUAGCCUAGGCACUGCCGAGUCACACACUCUUAAAAAUUAUUGGCAGCUCUAACAAUUGGUCUUGCAUUGUUUACUUUUCAUCUCAUUGAAAAGGAAUGUAACUUAUAGAUGUUGAUACUGUGGAAAGAAAAGUAUGCUAGAGUAAAUGUAAACUCUGAAGCUUUUUUCCCAUCAUAUGUUGUUUUCUCUUCUGUUUUUAGAGGAACUUUAUGUGUUAUUUCCCUUAUAUGAAACAUCACGCAAGAUGCAUUGAUGGGAACAUGAUUAGAACUAUUGCAAGUUGGAGGUAACAAUGCCAAUAACCCCCUAUGCUUUUUUAUUAGUUCUUACUAAUUAUUUUAUAACUGCAUCAUCUUUAUGUUUUCAAAUGUCAAGGAUUGAGGAAAGGAAAACUUGUGUAUUUGUGAUAAAAUUUUGCUCAGUGCUUACUGCUUGAGGUCACAUCUAAGAAACCUCUUCACUUGAAUUGAUGGCAACAACUUUUUCUGCCUCUCAAGCUUUUCAGCAUUGCAUAAUCUAUUGGAUAGAUGUUCUAAUUGCAUAAUCUAUUCAUUUUUAAAGUUAUUAUUAUUACAACUAUGCAUAUCAUCUGCAGAAAUCUAUACCUGUAAUGAGUUCAUUUUCCAUUUCUAUAUAUUUCCUUUUCGUUUUUUGGGUGCUAGCUGGGAACCUGUUCAACUGAAAACUGUCACAGAUGCAUAUUUCCAUUUUUUAUUUUUUAUUUUUUAUUUUUCCACAAAUGAAUGGUACUCUGUUCCAAGUCAAUCAAUAUUAGUACAUAUACUGCAGUUGAUGAUCCUAGGUAGAGCACAGUUCAGCAAUAGAUGGACUUCCCAUUCUGGUCACUGCCAGCUCUGUAGGGCCAGUAAAAGAAAACAUAAUGAUCUAAGUUACCAAUAUUUUUGCUCCUUUAAAUGCCUCCAUAACAUCUAGUCUAGCAUGACACAGUCAUGAAGGAGCGGUGUGGAAUCCCUCCACGAGCUGAACAUCAGGGUAUCUCCUGCCUCAGGACCUGAGAAUUGACUCAUAGACAUACCACAUUUUAGAGCGUGAAGUAUAUCUUCAAAAAGAAACUCACUACAUGGUAUAGUUAAUGGACCAAUCUUAUUGUAGCCAUACUUUUCAUAAGCUAGGUGUAGCAGCUGCUGGAAGACUGGUUGGUUUAGGUAGUCUGCUCUUAUAACAAACCUUCUUCUAGUUUCUCCCACUAUCACAGCCAAGUGACCAGGAGGAACAUCUGGAGGCAGUUCCUUGUGACGACCUCUGGCUAGCCUCCGCCACAUGCUAGCCAUUCUUUUGAGCUUGACAAUGCUGCAGGUGUCACUUAUAGCAUACUGCUCUCUAGCCAUGAAGUUUCAGAUAUUUUUGUAGAUUGUCAAAUUCAGAGACUUCAAAGUGGAAGGAGGUUCGUUGGACCUGUAGGGACUAAGAAGACCUAAUACGUUAUAGUUGGACGUAAGAGUAACCCAGUCAAAGCUCUUACAAGGUUGGUGGGAUACUUUGUAGGCAGUCUCAUCUUGGAAGUUCUUACUUGUACGAUCCGUUUCUCAAAGGGGCCAGUUUGGUACGGCUUUUAGGAGGUAAGAAACAUGGUAUUCCAUAUUAAAUUCUUUGAUGUUGAAUCCUUGCAUUCGAGUAUGGUAGAUAGCUCGAGAAAAAUAAGAUGGUAACUAUCUUUUCUAUAGCUAGGAGGGAAGGAAACUAGGAUUUGAGUACCUUGGUCCCACAAUGUCAUGUGAGCUUUGGAGUUUUGGUGGAAGAAGACACUAGAUUUUGAUUUGAUCUAGUAAUUGGUUCUAUAACGUUUACUUGAAAUUUUUUUAAUAAAAUCAGAGAAACCAUUACCGGUCUUGA